AGAAAAUAUCAAAUAUAUUAAAAGGUAGAAAGACUAGAAAAAUGACCCCUAGUUUCAACACACUGGCCAAUCUUGUUUCAUCUGUGAUUCUGAAAAUCGUUAAAUGCUCGCAGAAACUCAGAUGUGUCUUUACAUGACCUGGCAGGUCCCCAGCACAUGGCCUCACGCAGGGAAGAGGCACAAAGCAAGUAGAGCAGAGUCCUGGCCUGGAAGGACUAGCAACCCAGGGGGACUAGAGCCGCAUAAAACAUCUACAAAAUCAAGGAACAAAAAUACCAGGCCUGCAAGGCGAAGCCUGGCAGUGCUAACUGGACUCCCUGAUAGGAUGCAAUGAGGUCGGCACUUCACCUCUGCAUAUUCGUCCCCAAAACUCAUAAAUCCAGUCUAAUAAUGUGAAAAACAUUGAGCAAACCCAAACUAAGGACCUUUCCACAAAAUAUCUGACCAUCACUCUUCAAUCGAGGUCAUGAAAAAUAAGGAAAGACAGAAGCUGUCACAGAUCAAGGAGACGGGGGAGACGUGAUGACGAAGUUGCAAUGAGAUGUCCUGGACUAGAUCCUGGAGCAGACCGAGUCUCAGCAGGAAAACCAGGGAAUUCCAAGUGAGGUCUGUGGUUUACUUAAUAACACUGUGCCAAUGUUAAUCUCCUAAUUUUGUCAAAUGCGCCCAGGUUAGGUAAGUUGUUAACAGCAGGGAAAACUGGGUGAAAGGUGUACGGUGAUUCUCUGUAAUAUAUCUGUAACUUUAUUGUAUAUCUAAAAUUUUUCAAAAAUAAAAAGUUUAUUGCAGAAAUGAUAAUAUAAAAAUUGGAACUGGCUAAUGAAUAUUAAUUCUUCUUCACAAGAAGAAGUCAGUGACAACGAAGCUUUCAUUUUAAAAUUCAGCUCAGAAAGAAGAAACCUCAAGAAAUAAAACAACUUGUUAAAGGGUCUCAAAGAAAGUAAGCACCUUGAAAUGAAGGCAGGGCCCCUGUAAGCUAAAGGCCACACCAGGUGACCAGUGGCAGCACAAUGGACGUGCUACCACGGCAAGGAACUGUGCGGACAGCCAGAAGUGGCUCUGAGGCUGCCCGCCUGGUCUCCCCCUCCACCAAGAGCAGGGCUGUGCCAGUCUCCCUGUACCCCCGCAGCUGCCCAGCCUCUCCCCGUCCUCUCCCCUUCGGCCCACCCGCACAGCACCUCUCUUCACUCACGCAGCAAUUCCUGAGGAGCUGGAGCACAACUCUGAGCUGAAAGCAAUGAAAGGCGGAGGUGUUACAACCCACUAUAUGGUAAUUCAUUUUUUAAAAAGUUUAUAUGUAUCCAGGGAAAAGAUGAACUGUACACCAGGAGACCCGAAGCUGUGGUUCUGAACAAGGAAGGGACAGAAGCAGCAGCAGCAAUAGAAUGCCACCUCUGGUCUUUCUGACCUGGAGAUCACGAUGCCGAGCCUGCUAGUGCUCACUUGUGCUUUUAUUUUAUUUUAUUUUAUUUUAUUUUUUAGGGCCACACCCGCAGCGUAUGGAGGUUCCCAGGCUAGAGGUCGAACUGGAACUACAGCUGCCGGCCUACACUACAGCCACAGCAACGCCAGAUCCCCAGAUCUGAGCCACGUAUUCGACCAAUACCACAGCUCACGGCAACACCAGAUCCUUAACCCACUGAGCGAGGCCAGGGAUCAAACUCACAACCCCAUGGUUCCUAGUCGGAUUUGUUUCCACUGCACCACGACGGGAACUCCUAGCUCAUGAUUUUGAACAGCUUUGCAUAAACAAAAGUGCAGAUCUGGAUUUUCAAACUGUGACUAGCACGUGGGGAUUUCAUUCACUCUGAACUGGAUUUAAGAUGACCCUUAUGACUGGGGGCAACGCAAAAGCCAGCC
ensembl:lncRNA